rnacentral:tRNA from 1 species
GCCCUUAUCGUCUAGAGGCCUAGGACGCCGCCCUUUCACGGCGGUAACACGGGUUCAAAUCCCGUUGAGGGUG